CUGUGCGUGUCAAAAAAAAAAAAAAAAAGAGAAUCCGUUUUACUUAAGCCCAGAUCCGUUGUCUUGGGUAGCAUGGUCUGGGAGGCGGUGGCAGAGGCUGGAGGGGGAGGCUGGGGGGCGGGGUGUUUCUGGCAAGGGCUCCGGGAGCCGUGGGUGCUCCCUUGGUGGCUGUGGGUUGGUGAGUGGCAGCUCGGCUGGUUUCCCAGCGACUGACUUCCUGUUGUUGGCAGUGAAUUCUAGAGCAGAGGGAGAAACCAGGACUUGAGGGCUUGGGGGUGGUCUUGGCGGAGGUCGUGCAGCUAAGGAUGUGGGGCUGAGGCUGCCCUAAGUUCUCCAGGUGGGCCCCAAGCCCAGCCCCUGUGCUCAUCAGACAGACGAGGGCCAGGGAGAAACGAAGGAGCAGCACGGAGCCCAGCUGCCCCGGCCCCCGGCAGCUGGAGGAGGCCUGGGGCAUCUGCCAGGCCUCCCAGAAGCCAGUGAGGGCGAAGUGCAGGGCCCUGGACAGGGCCGAGAGCUGUGCCCAAGGCCAGGGCUGGCGGGGGAGCCGCUGCCCCGUGUCCUGCUCUGGGCUCUCCCCGGAGAGAGCUGCUCUGAGGGGAGGGGGGACCCCUGCCCAGCAGAGGGCCGGGGGCCCAAGGUGGCCUGUGCGCACGUCCCUGCAGACAGGGCCUCGUGCAGCAGGUCUGGAACGGCGCCCAAGAGCCCACUUGGCUUGGGGACGUCUGUGGACACAGCCUCCGGGGGCUCUGCGCCGCUCAGCUGCAGCACCACGCCCGCCCCCAGCCCCUCAGCGAGAGCCAGGCAGGGGCCCAGCCGCCAGUCUUCGUCAUAACACAGGGGGCUGGCAGGAGCGGUCCACCCCAGGCCCAGCAGGGGCCGGGCAGAACGAGGCCAGGCAGACUGGCCUUGGGGGACCUGACCGAUGGACGCGUGGCCGACUCAGCUCCUGGUGCAAAAUCAGCCAGAACGGGGAAACCCACGGGUUACGAAGGGCUCUCGGCAGAGCCUGCUGCUGCUUUCAGCGCUGUGUGUUAUCUGUGCAAUCGAGAGGCAGAGGGACAGGCAGGGACACGGACAGAGCUCCCCUCUGCUGGUCACUCCCCAGAUGUCUGCAGCAGCUGCGGCUGGGCGGGGCCGGGGCGGGGGCGGGGCUGGGGGGCGGGGCCGGGGCACGCAGCCCAGUCUCCCACGGCAGCUACCUGAGCGUCCCCACCGCCUCCAGGGUGCACAUCGGCAGGAAGCUGGAGCCCGGCACUGGGAUUCUGACCACAGACCUCACGUGGUGGGGCCUGCGCCUCCCUCAGAAGGGGUGGGGCUGGCGCUGGGGGAGGGGCGCCCGACCCGUGCUAACUCUGUCUCUUCUGUUUGAAGGAAGGAGCCUCAGCCCGAGCCGUCGCCAAGCCCCCGUGGCGCGGCCGCCAAGGGGAAGGGGUCCCCCCAGGCCCAGACCGUCCGGCGCUCGCCCAGUGCUGGCCAGAGCCUUGAGGACAGUCCCAGCAAAGUGCCCAAGAGCUGGAGCUUCGGGGACCGCAGCCGGGCCCGCCAGGCCUUCCGGAUCAAGGGCGCUGCCUCGAGGCAGAACUCAGAAGCCAGUCUCCCCGGGGAGGACGCAGUGGACGACAACAAGAGCUGCAACUGCGAGUUUGUGACCGAGGACCUGACGCCUGGCCUCAAAGUCAGCAUCCGGGCCGUGUGGUGAGGACCCCGGGGCUGGCGCGGAGGGACACGGGGCGCGGGCUGUCUGCGGGGUGCCAGGGGGC
ensembl:lncRNA